GUAGCGUAAUCACUUGCCCCUUAAUUAGGGGCCUGUAUGAACGGCUAACUGAGGGCCUACCUGUCUCUUGCAGCAAGGAAAUGAAACUGAUCUCCUAGUACAAAAGCUAGAAUACUCCCAUAAGACGAGAAGACCCUGUGGAGCUUACAAACACUAUUGCUACGCUACCAUUAACCCCCCCCCCAAUCACACUAGCAAUAAUUUUUAGUUGGGGCAACUAUGGAGUAAAACAAAACCUCCACGCACCAACUCACCCUUACCCCAGGCUCACCGGCCACACCCAAAAAGACCCAGCACCGCUGAUCAUCGAACCAAGUUACCCCAGGGAUAACAGCGCCAUCCUCUUCUAGAGUCCCUAUCGCCAAGAGGGCUUACGACCUCGAUGUUGGA
rnacentral:rRNA from 1 species